CUUGAUUUCUGGCGAUUCCAUCGAUAUCAGAGCCAGUAUCUGAAACAAGCAAAGUGUGGCGGAACCUACCCCCAAUUUCGUAUACUUUGCCCCUGUUUGUGUAUUUUUCCCUUUUUCCAUUUUGGGAGUUAUUAUAUACGAAUGCCAUCCAUUCGUCUCCCGAAUGAGGACCACCCCUGUACCCCACUAGAACGUUCACACAAGCAACUUAAGUUGGAAACCACAAGGAAAGUAAUUAAUGAAUGCUUCCCUUGGGUGGCCGCCAUUUCAUAUAGCCGUAUGCAUGUAGUCAACAAAAGAAUGGCGGGCCGUCUGGUCUCCCGAAUGUGGAUAAUGACACUUGGUUGUCGAGUACCUGGAACUCUUUUCGGCUAGGCACUCGCACAAACCCCGGUAAAGAUUAGAGCGAUGCCCGUUCUACAUCCCGACCACCUAUGCGAAC